UGCCAAGUCCUGGUCUGUUCGGACU
rnacentral:piRNA from 2 species